UUGCUUCCAUUUUUUGAGUGUCAAGAGGUCAUCCUGUCAUUCGGCAGAAUAUGGAGACUUCAUCUAAAAUUGAAAAAUGAAAAUGAACUUUGAGGAAACUUUUGUUUUGCUAAUAAAUCACUAUUUCUUAGGCAGAAUGUCAGCCCCUUUGAUUCACACACCACCUUCAAGGUCAUUAGAAAUGUCCUUGACCAGCAAUGGAGAAGAAAGAGAAGGUACCGCAGUUUCGAUGGUCGUGGGACUCAGGUUUUCUCUCAGCACUGCGUAUACGCUUGGAGACAUGGGAAGAAGGUCUGAUGGAGACUGUGGCUCAGUGGAAUCGCUUCGGCUUAAAGAGAGAACAAGUUAUAGAAGUGAAGUCAGAACCAUGCCCAUUUUAGGAAAGAGAAAACCAAAACUCUACAAGUGACUGUGAGAGGCCCCUGGUGACGCCUACUGAUUCCUGAGGGCUCUGCUGGAGUCAGACAGCCCCAGCCCCCUUCUCAGGAACUGCUGACACAUCACUUCAUUUCUAAGGUUUUGACCUCCACAUACCCCUUAGAUCUUAUAAUGGUGACAGUCAAGGUAAAAAGAGGAACUUCAUUUACUUUACUGCAAUAUGAAGUUAUUUUCCUAAGUCUCGAAACAGAAAGCCAACAGAAAGCA